rnacentral:rRNA from 1 species
GGCGAGCGGCGGACGGGUGAGUAAUGCCUAGGAAUCUGCCUGGUAGUGGGGGAUAACGUUCGGAAACGAACGCUAAUACCGCAUACGUCCUACGGGAGAAAGCAGGGGACCUUCGGGCCUUGCGCUAUCAGAUGAGCCUAGGUCGGAUUAGCUAGUUGGUGAGGUAAUGGCUCACCAAGGCGACGAUCCGUAACUGGUCUGAGAGGAUGAUCAGUCACACUGGAACUGAGACACGGUCCAGACUCCUACGGGAGGCAGCAGUGGGGAAUAUUGGACAAUGGGCGAAAGCCUGAUCCAGCCAUGCCGCGUGUGUGAAGAAGGUCUUCGGAUUGUAAAGCACUUUAAGUUGGGAGGAAGGGCAGUUACCUAAUACGUAAUUGUUUUGACGUUACCGACAGAAUAAGCACCGGCUAACUCUGUGCCAGCAGCCGCGGUAAUACAGAGGGUGCAAGCGUUAAUCGGAAUUACUGGGCGUAAAGCGCGCGUAGGUGGUUCGUUAAGUUGGAUGUGAAAUCCCCGGGCUCAACCUGGGAACUGCAUUCAAAACUGUCGAGCUAGAGUAUGGUAGAGGGUGGUGGAAUUUCCUGUGUAGCGGUGAAAUGCGUAGAUAUAGGAAGGAACACCAGUGGCGAAGGCGACCACCUGGACUGAUACUGACACUGAG